AGUCAUCUCAUAAAUGCCUGUCUGCAUCCCGAUCCCAGCGAGAGGAUACAACUGGAGCAGAUCCUCCUCCACGACUGGUUUACGAUCUCACCAUCAGACAUGGAGGAUGAGCGCCCGGUCCUGGUCAUGCAGGAAGAGCUGAUUAGCCAGGCAUGCUAACACCAGUGGCCUCACCACCUCUCCAGUCCUUUGCUUCUUGCUAAUGUCUGGUGUCAGAGCUUGAGGCAGCAAUAUUUGCGUCUUGCGGUGUUGCUGCCAAAAAUGUAUUGUUGAAUUGAAAUAAAAUUGUGUCAAUUGAA